CCCGUUACGGGGCGCGCGCGGCCGCCUCCUCUCAGCUCCUGCCCGCGCGAGGCUGCCGGGCUCGGCCCUGUGGAGGCGCUGCCCUCGCUCUGGGCGGAGGUGACCGUUGGAGAAGCCUCGGCAGCCCACGCGCGCACUUGCCGCGGGAGUCCCGUUUCCUUAAGAAAUCGGGAGUUAAGUCUGUGGAACUAAGCAGAAAUCAGCCAAGCUUCCUCCUUAGGAGGAGCCAAGUCCAAGGAACUCAUCAAACUCCGAAGACCAGGAGCUGACUUAAAGUUGUUUCCUGGAGUCUACAUGCUUUGUUUGCCAUAGUCACACAGAGUUCAUUGCAAAGCAUUCUACUCACAUUUAGAGCGACAGCACCAAAGGGGCAUCUGAGCUGCCAGUUACACAGCAACAUUUCUCUCUGACACAUGAAGUGAUAGAAGCUGGAAAAUCAUUUGGCGAUGUCCUCUGCUCUGUAAAUUGGCUUAGUCCAUAAAAGUCAACUAAAUUAGACUGAAUCAAUGUUGGCAGAGGAAGUUUCUUAACAAAAUGAACGUAACAUUUCUAAAAUGAAGUGAAAAGCCCUAAUAAAAG
rnacentral:lncRNA from 1 species